UACGAAGGGGGCUAGCGUUGCUCGGAAUCACUGGGCGUAAAGGGUGCGUAGGCGGGUCUUUAAGUCAGGGGUGAAAUCCUGGAGCUCAACUCCAGAACUGCCUUUGAUACUGAAGAUCUUGAGUUCGGGAGAGGUGAGUGGAACUGCGAGUGUAGAGGUGAAAUUCGUAGAUAUUCGCAAGAACACCAGUGGAGAAGGCGGCUCACUGGCCCGAUACUGACGCUGAGGCACGAAAGCGUGGGGAGCAAACAGG
rnacentral:rRNA from 1 species